GGUGCAUCGUAAAUGUAUUUAUUUAUUUAUUGGUCCAUUUCUUUCUAAUGAUGUCAGUUUCGGUCCUCCAUACACCUUUCCUCCAGAUACUCAAACACGCUCCUCAGUCUCCCUUCCACAUGCACCACUGAACCCACUCAGUCGGCUUUUCAUCGGACUUUAAUUUUCAGCCGUGAUCGACCACAUUUCAACACCGGCCCACUGCCUCUCCCCAUUUUAUAAGCAUGUGGAAAAAGUCAACCAGGCUCUGAAGCGGCAAGUGGGGGAAACUAAUCAACGUGGCGUUAAUUAAUGAUAGUGGAAAGGCCUUUUACUGACUCGGGGUUUUAGGGGAGUAUUUUUUAAAAGUGGAGUGAAGAUACCUGGAAUUAGGGACGUCUUUGGAGGUAACUCACAGAGUGUAAAGCUAAAAACAGUCCAGCCUUGGAAUUGGAAAAGAUCGUCAAUGAUUUAUUAUGUACUUGGGUUUGUUUCUGUAGGUGCAGCUCUAUGGAACCAUUGAUUAUUGUUGGCCAGUAGUUGGUUGUUAGUUCAGAAGUUCAGAAGUGAAAAAAAAAACAAACUGAACAGAGUUGUUUUCUUUGGCACUGUGCAUGUGUUGCGAUAUUGAUAUGUUCACUGGUGAGAAGAAGAACUACCUUCAACUUAGGAAAGUUAACAGUAAGAAAUCAUGGAAGAGUCUGAGUGAUYAAUGAUGAAAUCUGUAAACUGCACAUUUUUACCCAGAAAUGGUCAUUGUACAUAUAAGUCAACUAACACGACUAUUAUUUGGCCUUAUGCUAACAGAUUAUUAUAAAACAAUUUUUUUGAACCUCAAAAAAKCCUGAACAACUGAAUCUGUGAGRCGUUCAGUUAAUURGUGUCUGGURUCUWUAUCUGACACAACACGGGCCAAAAYCACUUUCUAAUAAAAAUGUGUCACAUUCGUUGGACAUUUUGAUUCUGUAUUUAUUCAUACAUGAUGUAUUCAUACAUGAAGCACACAAAAUCUAACUCCAGGUAUUUUGAGGAAAUCAGAGAGUUAUAAUUAACCAAUCAAGUUUAUUUGUAUUGCACAUUUCAGCAACAAGGCAGUUCAAACUGCUUUACAUCAUAAAAACAAAAUUAUUAAUCAUAAAAUCUCUCUCAAAUGUUUUACCGACCUUCCCUAUUUUUAACUGUACACAAUAUAUUUUAUUACUUACUGUGUACACAUCCCUGUGGUAAUGUGAAUGUUUUCUGUAAGUACAUUUGAGAGUCCCUUAAGGAUAAAGCCCUGCACCAGUAGGUGCCUGUGAAAACCAGGUACCAGUACUAAGUAGUUACUAGGUAUGUACAUACACUGUAAAAAUGUGAUGCAUACUGACACUUACCAGGUAAGUACCAGGUAUAUAUCCUGUACCUACCCUACCAGACUGCAUUAUGUAGGUACUGGGAUGUGUACAGUAACUGAUACUUACCAGUUAAGUACCAGGUACAGAAUCAGUGCCUAAGAGACUACAGUAUGUAGGUACUUGAUGUUUACAGCAAGUAGCAGGUACAUAUCCAGUACCUACAAGACUGCAUUAUGUAAGUCCUUGAUGUGUACAGUAACUGAUACCUACCAGAUAAGUACCAGGUACAUAUCCAGUACCUACCUACAUGACUGUAUUAGACAGGUACUUAAUGUGUACAGUAACUGAUACUUACCAGGUAAGUAUCAGUUACUGUACACAUUAACUGAUAUUUACCAGGUAAGUACCAGAUACAUAUCAUGAACCGCCAAGACUGCAUUAUAUAGGUAAUUGAUGUGUACAGUAAUUGACACUCACCAGUUAAGUACCAGCUAUAUAAUCAGUACCUACCAGACUACAUUAUGUAGGUACUUGAUUUUUACAGUAAGUACUAGGUACAUUUCCAGUACCUACAAGACUGCAUUAUGCAGAUUCUUGAUGUGUACAGUAACUGAUACUUACCAGGUAAGUACCAGRUACAUUUCCAGUACUGCCAAGACUGCAUUACGCAGGUACUUGAUGUGUACAGUAACUGAUAMCUAAGUAAGUACCAGGUACAUAUCCAGUAUCGACAAGACUGCAUUAUGUGGGUACUUGAUGUGUACAAUAACUGAUACCUAAGUAAGUACCAGGUACAUAUCCAGUACCUACAAGACUGCAUUAUGUAGGUACUUGAUGUGUACAGUAACUGAUACCUACCAGGUAAGUACCAGGUACAUAUCCAGUACCAGACUCUGUUGUGUAUUGUACUGUAUUAUCUUCAGAUUCUGUUCUGUAUUUAUUUGUUAUGCACAAAAUCUGAAGAUUAAGASGUCUCUAUAACAGCCUGCAUAGAUGGAUUAGGAAGAGAAUACACUCCUCAGUAAGAUUAUUAUGUAAUUCAAUAUAUUUUACUUUACUGAAAAAAAAAACAGUUUGUUAUAAAUGUGGGUAAAACUUACCUCUUAUUGUCAAAUAUAAAUUGAUGACUAUGCAAAAAUUUCGCAUCCCCCCACAAUGACCCUACCAGCUAAACUUUCCGUGGCCACAGUGAGUACACACUGACAGUUUGUCUAUUCCAUUGUUURAGAACAAUGGGUCACCUUGCCCUCCCUGAUUGCAAAAUUCCUUUGGGAGCUAUGAUGUAAUGACAGUUUCUGAUGCAGGCACGCUGACCAGUAUUUUACUUUUGGUCUUUUAUUGUUUUUUUCUCUCAUGCCAUUUCUUUUUUCUUUUUCUCUCUUUCAAACCCCACUUUUAUUUUUUUUAUUUGAAAAACUUUUUUUUUUGCACUCCCCAUCUUAGCUGAACCCCUUCCCCCUUUUUUUAUCCUUUACCUUGCGUUCCCUUGAACUUCCCCACCAACCCUUUGCCUUUGCUCGUUUCCCCUGGCGAUGUCGCUUACAACCACCUCCCGUCUUCUUAUUCCCCCAUCUCCUUGUUAGGGGCAGGCUCAGGUGGCUGGGUGAGGCUGAGAUGGAUGAGGUGUCGGCCAAAACGUCGACCCAACAGCAUCCUCAAAGAGCGGCACCAACAGCCGACAUCCCACUGGCCUGUCAAGUACAACUGAGUCCAGUGACAGUGAUUUUCAGUGGCUGUACCGAUCAAGAUAAGCUGGGCAGGAAUGCAGAUGUGUCCGACCUACGCUGUGUCAGCCAACGAUUUUACGAUAGACCACAUAUUUGAGGAGGGGCUCCAUCCGAAAAGGUGGUGUCUGGAUAUAYAAAAAUGUUUCUAACAAUAACUAUUCAACAAAGGAGCUUCAGAUGUUUGUUUUUUUUUUUAGCUCUGAUUGGGCUGCCCACCAAUGAACACCCCCACCCCUCUGGACCCCCACCCAACACAAUCAAUCUGUUCUGUUGUGUGUUUAAGAAGAGCACAUUGUGAGCUGAUGUGAGAAACAUGUGAGAAGAAACGCUGUGAAACAUGGAGCUAAAAAAUAGCAUCGAAAAAGAAAACAAGAUUUUCUUCGUCUGACUCCGGUGAGUAAACAGCUAUGGUUUAUAUGCUUCAUUAUGCGCGACUUACAACAAAAGGGAGGGGGAAUAUUUCUGUUAUAUGUGAAGAAAUGUCAAAACAAAUAAAUAUGGUAGGUGCUUCCUGGUUAUUUUGCCUCCCCACAGCUGCCCAGCAGUCAUCCAACAUAAUCAUUUUUGGCUUCUUCAAACUCCACACAAAAUAGUAAAUCCGACCAACCACAUCUUCACCAAAAUCCUCCCACAAAAGUCAAACAGACCAAUCACGUCUUUGACAAACCCCUCCCACACACCAAUAAACUCCCCCUUAAUGACUGCAGAGAUCUACUUCCCCUUUAAAGUGGUCCUAAUAAUUAUUUUGGCAGUCUUGUCAGUUUCCUAACGGCCUUCAAAUCUUCAAACCAGGAGUGGAAGUUUGAGAGCAGUUUGGGAACGACAACAGUUGGUUGUAACUAACUCUGUCUUGAUGAAUAAUAAUCCGAUUACAUUUUCAAUCUGGGAACUGUAAAGUAGGACUAUAAAAGUAUAUUUUGCAGUAGCAGUGGGCUAAGGCAGCAGCACAUAAACUGCUCUUAAUGAGAUCAUUCUAAAUGAAACAAAUCCCACUAUCAUCGCCAAGGCCACUAAUGUAAUACACCAUUCAGUAAUACCUUGACCUCUUGUUUCGCUCUUCUUCUCUGCCUACCUGGCUGUGUCAAGCUGUCACUCAUAAACCAAUCAUAAUCUAACAUCUCCCUCCUCUGGUCUUCUGUCACCUCUGACCCUGCCCGUGAACUUGGGUCCCCUCCAAUAAGGCUGUCAGACUGACUCAGUCAUCUGUGGCCGCAGACAGAGCCGCCAAUCAUCUGGGAUAAUCGGGAUUGGGCCGACCCUGGGCUGACCUGGCCUUGCAGACGGCUGACAGCAAGAGGAGCACUGAAGUGAAACCUGCAGAGUAUUUUAACAAUCUGUCCGCGCACCUCUGCAUCAAAACACGCACUUACAUAUAAUGCAAAAAGCUGUACACAAACAGGACUACUGCAAAAAACAGAAUUUCAUAGAUAAUUAUUAGGAUUUAAAACAGUAUAGUAGCACAGUAAUCUACGCUCUAUAUAUUUUUUCAUUUAUAAAGUUGACUGAAAAAACUUAAAAAGGUGUUUC